CCUACGGGGCGCAGCAGUGGGGAAUAUUGGACAAUGGGCGAAAGCCUGAUCCAGCCAUGCCGCGUGUGUGAAGAAGGCCUUCGGGUUGUAAAGCACUUUCAGUGGGGAAGAAAGCCUUGGGGCUAAUACCCUCGAGGAAGGACAUCACCCACAGAAGAAGCACCGGCUAACUCCGUGCCAGCAGCCGCGGUAAUACGGAGGGUGAGAGCGUUAAUCGGAAUUACUGGGCGUAAAGCGCGCGUAGGCGGUCUGAUAAGCCGGUUGUGAAAGCCCCGGGCUCAACCUGGGAACGGCAUCCGGAACUGUCAGGCUAGAGUGCAGGAGAGGAAGGUAGAAUUCCCGGUGUAGCGGUGAAAUGCGUAGAGAUCGGGAGGAAUACCAGUGGCGAAGGCGGCCUUCUGGACUGACACUGACGCUGAGGUGCGAAAGCGUGGGUAGCAAACAGGAUUAGAUACCCGAGUAGUC
rnacentral:rRNA from 1 species